CAGUAGCCACGUAAUACGAAGGGUGCAAGCGUUACUCGGAAUUACUGGGCGUAAAGCGUGCGUAGGUGGUGGUUUAAGUCCGUUGUGAAAGCCCUGGGCUCAUCCUGGGAAUUGCAGUGGAUACUGGGUCACUAGAGUGUGGUAGAGGAUAGUGGAAUUUCCGGUGUAGCAGUGAAAUGCGUAGAGAUCGGAAGGAACAUCUGUGGCGAAGGCGACUAUCUGGGCCAACACUGACACUGAGGCACGAAAGCGUGGGGAGCAAACAGGAUUAGAUACCCGCGUAGUCCCUGUCUCUUAUACA
rnacentral:rRNA from 1 species